rnacentral:misc_RNA from 1 species
UUUAUUCCAAUUAAUUUGACAAAGUGAAAUCCAGAGAUAGAAGGCUAAUCACAGAUUGUUGAUAAUGCAUAUAAGAUUAACUUGAGCAGUACACGCAUUGACACAAUCCUACAAUAAAUUAAAAUUUCUUAUGCUAAUACGAAGCAUAAAAACUACCACACUAAAAUCUGAAGAAAAUGACUAAUCUAGCGUUUAAGAAAAUCUGUAAUUUCCAAGUGGGAAGGACUAACCCAUUUCUAAACCCAAUCAGUAUUUCUUUCCAUAUCAUAGCAAAAGAAAUAUUAGCCUACUUCUUGUGCUCUUCUCUGGCCACAAUCUUGAACUUUCCUGUUCGUUGUUGCUUCUUCCACAAUUCAGUAUGGCUUUUGCAGAAGCCAGCAACAAUUGUUUCCACCUUCCUUUUUCCUUCUUUAUACUCAAUGCAAAGAUCCUCUUUCAACCCACAAGUAACAUGAAAUGCCAAGGGACACUUAUGCUCAGAGCAUUGAAUAACACAUCCUUUUCUGCUCUUACACACAUAACACUUGCCUUCCCAACGCCUCUUAGGAACCUUAGAGUAAUUAAUUCCCUCACGGCCAUCUGGGUCCUCAAAGAACACUUCAGGAACUAAAACUGCACACACAACAUGAGCCCAGAAGCCAUCUUUGGUGGGUUUCAUAGCACCACCCGUUGUUGGACAUAGGCAACAAGAGAAGGCCUUAUUUUGUUUGUUAGAUUGAGAAUCCAAACACUGGGUACAAAACCAUUCACCUUCAGGUACACCUUUUAUCAAAGGAUUGCCGUAGCAAGUGGUGUGCACCAUUAGAUCACACCCAUCACAGAACACAAUGGGAUCCGCUGGGUCCCCAUCUGUGCUUUGACAAAUAGCACACACAAUU